rnacentral:rRNA from 1 species
CCUACGGGUGGCAGCAGUGAGGAAUAUUGGUCAAUGGCCGGAAGGCUGAACCAGCCAUGCCGCGUGCAGGAAGAAGGCUCUAUGAGUUGUAAACUGCUUUUGUACAAGGGUAAACCUGUAUACGUGUAUUCAGCUGAAAGUAACGUACGAAAAAGGCACGGCUAAACCCGUGCCAGCAGCCGCGGUAAUACGGAAGGUCGGGGCGUUUUUCGGAUUUGUUGGGUUUAAAGGGGGCGUAGGCCGGUCUUUAAGCGUGCCGGGAAAUUUUGUGGCUCAACCAUGUGCGUGCGGCGGGAACUGUAGACCUUGAGUGCGCGGAAGGCAGGCGGAAUUCGUGGUGUAGCGGUGAAAUGCUUAGAUAUCACGAAGAACCCCGAUUGCGAAGGCAGCCUGCCGCAGCGUUACUGACGCUGAGGCUCGAAAGCGCGGGUAUCGAACAGGAUUAGAUACCCUUGUAGUC